CAGGCUCUCUGGAGGCGGUUUGUAACUGUGGUCACAAAAAUCAAUGUUCUGGGAGAACGGGAAGCAGCUCCAUUUUUGGGGGGCCCUUUACACAGCUCAAGGUCUGGGUCCCAGGGUCCACCUUCAUGUUCCACCAAUGAGUUUGUUCACAGGGGGUGGAGUGUGUAGGGGAUGUCCUGAUAUGUGUGUAAGGAAUGCAUUGUGUGAAUCUGUGUUUGUAUGUGUAAGGCCUGCAAGGUGUGUUUCUGUGUAUGUACGGGAUGCAUUGAGUG